GGAUUAGAUACCCUGGUAGUCUACGCCGUAAACGAUGUGCACUGGGUGUCGGGGGGUUACCCUCGGUGCCGAAGCAAACGCGAUAAGUGCACCGCCUGGGGAGUAUGCCCGCAAGGGUGAAACUCAAAGAAAUUGACGGGGGCCCGCACAAGCGGUGGAGCAUGUGGUUUAAUUCGACGAUACGCGAGAAACCUUACCAGGGCUUGACAUAUACGUGAUCGUCUUAGAGAUAAGAUUUUCCCUUCGGGGACAUGUAUACAGGUGCUGCAUGGUUGUCGUCAGCUCGUGUUG
rnacentral:rRNA from 1 species